CCCCAUUUAAGGGCUGACUGCCACUGGGAAGGAUCUCUUUCUGGAGAUCCCUUCUCUGUCGGGUCUUUCUUGUGAACCUAGAUCUUUGGAUACAGACUAUCAUGUUAAUAUGACCCUUUCCAAGAAAGGAGCUCAAGAAGUCCCUGUAACACCUUUGGAUGAAAUAGACUCUGAAAACAAAGCAGGACAAAAUUGUUAUGAGAAGAGGAAGAAAGAAGCCCAUCUGUCACCAGAUAGGAUUUGCUUUACUUACAUCUGAGAGAAAACUUUGGCUUUUUGGAGGUCUGGCUGGGAGUCUGAAGAACAAAAGCACAUCAGAAUAAAACCCACAACAAAUAUUUAAUUCAAUAUUUUAUACUGGGAUGAGCAGAAAGGAUGGUGACUGUUAAAUUUGAAAACUUCAGACUGGAUCAAGUGCAAAGAUGCUGAUUGAAGCAUUGACUGAAAGCUUUGCCUGUUUUGAUGACUCUGAAUAAAGUCUCUGAGUAACAAAACCCUAUAUUUCACAUUGUUUUUGCUGGUAUUAAAACAAUCUAAAGCAGUUUUUCAGACUCAAUAUGUGUAGACUGAUAAUAUAUAGGAAUUCAUAAGGAAAUUGUGCAUAUAGAAAGAUUGGAAAUUAGAUUAUGGGUCCCAAAAUACUGCGAAGAGUACUCAAACUUAUCAAGUGAUUAACUUUAAAUCCUCAA